ensembl:misc_RNA Metazoa_SRP Metazoan signal recognition particle RNA
GUUGCGUGGACCUGUAGUUCCAGCUAUUCAGGAGGCCGAGGUUGAAGGAUCACUUGAGCCCAGGAGUUCUGGGCUAUAGUGCUCUGUGCUGAUCAGAUAUCUACACUUAAGUUCAGCAUCAAUAUUGUGACUUCCCAGGAGAGGAGGUCCACAAGGUUGCCUAAGGAAGGAUGAACUGGUCCAGGUCAGAAACAGAGGAGGUCAAAACUCCCAUGUAGAUCAGUAGUGGUAGUGUGCCUGUGAAUAGCCACUGCACUCCAGCCUGGGCAACAUAGCAAGACCCUGUCUCUU